GGGCAAGGGCCUGGAUUUGGCUAAGCAGGAAGGGAGCAGGAGUCAUACAGAGAAGAUCAAUGUAGCCUAGAGAUAGUCUACUAUCUGUCUACUAGUCUACUAGCCUACAGGAUGUCUACUCCAUCUGAAUUCCAGGACUUUGGAGUCUGGAUCCCAUCACCCUCAAAGGCCUCUGAGCUAUUCAUAUCCCAGCAUCUUAAAGCUCUGCUGACCACAGCUUCUCUUCGGGGAAGGAGGAAAGCUCUCCUUUCUGGGCGAGAGUCAAGGGCUUCACUACAAAAGUGCAUUUUGGGGUGCCACAAGCUUUGCUUACUUCUGAAGGGAGGAGCCAGGUAGGAGCAAGAGUCCAGCCUUCCUAAGAGGGCUGAAGUGUAGAGAUGGCUAGCCACUUUUCUCUCAGUGCAAGCUAUAUAUAUUUGUUUUAUUUUUACUAUGUCAUUCAUGCAUUUGUUUUUAUUUUUGUUUACUAGGGUAGGUUUCACAAACAAAAGCUGCAUAGCUUUGUAAAGUACAAUACGGCCUUUUGUUAUUUGUGUACGUGGUAAAAUGUUUCAAUUCGGGUAAUUCCCUUGUCACUGCCUCCCAUAGGUGUCUUUUCUCUGAUGAGGCUGUGUAAGAUCUAGUCUCUUGGUGGUAAUUUGGUACACAGUGUGUUGUUAUGGUCCAUAGCCACUAUACUGUAAAAUAAACAUGGUCUGUUUUCACCCUA